UAAAAGGAGGGAGGGGACUGUUUUAAUUUUACAUUUAAUUAGGUGCAGCUCGCGGCGGGAGAGGAGACUUCACACUUUCCACUUUCUCCAAGGAGUCAGAAAACCGCAUCGAUUAAUUACAUCUACCUACACAUUUUCUACAGUAACCCGAAGCAUUUAGUAUUAAAAUGUAUUUUCGGUUUAGACCUGCGGCAGAGGCUAUACUAUACUCGUAAAUCUCUUUUUUAGGUCUUUUGUGUAUUAAAACGUCCAAUGGCUACAAAACUGGUUUAGACAAUUGUACGCCUUACAGAGCUAAUUAAUCACGUAACCGUUGCUCUAUUGUAAUAUUAUUACUAUGUGU